GAUGAACGCUGGCGGCGUGCUUAACACAUGCAAGUCGAACGGAAAGGCCCAAGCUUGCUUGGGUACUCGAGUGGCGAACGGGUGAGUAACACGUGGGUGAUCUGCCCUUCACUUCGGGAUAAGCCUGGGAAACUGGGUCUAAUACCGGAUAGGACCACAUUUUGGAUGGUGUGGUGGAAAGUUUUUCGGUGUGGGAUGAGCUCGCGGCCUAUCAGCUUGUUGGUGGGGUAAUGGCCUACCAAGGCGUCGACGGGUAGCCGGCCUGAGAGGGUGUACGGCCACAUUGGGACUGAGAUACGGCCCAGACUCCUACGGGAGGCAGCAGUGGGGAAUAUUGCACAAUGGGCGCAAGCCUGAUGCAGCGACGCCGCGUGGGGGAUGACGGCCUUCGGGUUGUAAACUCCUUUCGCUAGGGACGAAGCGCAAGUGACGGUACCUGGAGAAGAAGCACCGGCUAACUACGUG
rnacentral:rRNA from 1 species